rnacentral:ncRNA from 1 species
CAUCAUCAAUGUAUUCCUUAUACUCAGGCAUGAUAAUAUAUUUAAUUUUUAUUUUAAAAUUAUAUUUUAAUAUAUUAUAUAAAAUUAAUUUUAAAUAUUUAAAUUUAGUAAAUAAACUUAUUUUAAUAUUAAUUUAUUAAAUAGUAUUUAAAAAUUUUUAAAGCAAAAUUCGUGCCAGCAAGCUGCGGUUAAACGUUAUUUUAAAAUAAUUGUUUUAGAUAUAAUUAUUAAUUAUAUAAAUAUUAAAAAGUGAAAUUUUAAAUUUAUAAUAUUAAUAUAGAUCAAAACUAGGAUUAGAUACCCUAUUAUUCUAUAUAUAUACUAAAGUAGUAUAAAUGAAACUUAAAAUUUUGACAGUAUUUGAUUUUCAAAGAAAUAUGUAAUUUAAUCGUCAAUACACGUUAAAUCUUACUUAUUUUAUUUUUGUAUAUCUCCGUUGACAGAUUUUAUUAAAAAUUAAAAUAAAUUUCUUAUAAAAUAAUUUUAUUACAUCAGGUCAAGAUCCAAAAUAAAUAAGUUAUUAUGUAUUCCAAUCAAAUAUAUUGAAUUGAAUAAAUUUUUGAAAAUAAUUUUGAAAUUGAAUUUGCAAGUAAAAUUAAUAUAGAAUAUUAAUUUGAAAUUUUUAAAUAUGUACAUAUUGCCCGUCACUCUUAUAAUUAAGAUAAGUCGUAACAUAGUAGAAUUACUGGAAAGUAAUUCU